rnacentral:rRNA from 1 species
CUGCGGAGGGAUCAUUACCGAGUGUAAAAACUCCCAAACCAUUGUGAACCUACCACUGUUGCUUCGGCGGCCUCGCCCCGGGCGCGUUCGCGCGGCCCGGACCCAGGCGUCCGCCGGAGGCUCCAAACUCUUGUCUUUUAGUGUAUUUCUGAGUGGCAUAAGCAAAUAAAUCAAAACUUUCAGCAACGGAUCUCUUGGUUCUGGCAUCGAUGAAGAACGCAGCAAAAUGCGAUAAGUAAUGUGAAUUGCAGAAUUCAGUGAAUCAUCGAAUCUUUGAACGCACAUUGCGCCCGCCAGUAUUCUGGCGGGCAUGCCUGUCUGAGCGUCAUUUCAACCCUCAGGACCCGUUCGCGGGACCUGGCGUUGGGGAUCAGCCUGCCCCUGGCGGCGGCUGGCCCUGAAAUCCAGUGGCGGUUCCCUCGCGAACUCCUCCGUGCAGUAAUUAAACCUCUCGCGGCAGGAUAGCGGUUGAACCACGCCGUUAAACCCCCCACUUCUCAAGGUUGACCUCAGAUCAGGUAGGAAUACCCGCUGAACUUAAGCAUAUCAAUAAGCGNAGGAA